CCCUUAGAUGUCCUGGGCCGCACGCGCGCUACACUGACAUGUUCAACAAGUUUCUCCUAGUUCGACAGGACUGGGAAAUCUUUGAACGCAUGUCGUGAUAGGGAUAGAUCAUUGCAAUUAUUGAUCUUGAACGAGGAAUUCCUAGUAAACGCGAGUCAUCAGCUCGCAUUGAUUACGUCCCUGCCCUUUGUACACACCGCCCGUCGCACCUACCGAUUGAAUGUUUCGGUGAAGAUUCCGGAUAGGACUGAUUUGAUUUAUUUCAUUUCUGACCUAAAAGCUAUCUAAACCUCAACAUUUAGAGGAAGGUGAAGGCGUAACA
rnacentral:rRNA from 1 species